rnacentral:rRNA from 1 species
AUUGAACGCUGGCGGCAGGCCUAACACAUGCAAGUCGAGCGGAGCGGCGGACGGGUGAGUAAGGCCUAGGAAUCUGCCGGGUAGUGGGGGAUAAGGUACGGCAAAGGGCGCUAAUACCGCAUAGUAUCAGUUGAGCCUAGGUCGGACUAGCUAGUUGGUGGGGUAAUGGCCUACCAAGGCGACGAGCCGUGCCUGGUCUGAGAGGAUGAUCAGUCACACUGGAACUGAGACACGGUCCAGACUCCGACGGGAGGCAGCAGUGGGGAAUAUUGGACAAGGGGCGAAAGCCUGAUCCAGCCAUGCCGCGUGUGUGAAGAAGUUCUUCGGAUUGUAAAGCACUUUAAGUUGGGAGGCGUUACCAACAGAAUAAGCACCGGCUAACUUCGUGCCAGCAGCCGCGGUAAUAC